CUUCAGAGUUCCUCAGAGCAAAGGACUGGGUGCCAGGAGACUUACAGAGUCCAAUCCCAGAGAACCAGGAAGAUAUAGACAAUGUGGAGGACCUUAUACUGAGCUUUUCUGCUGAAGCAUCAACACCUGAAGAAGAAAGGAAACAGCAUUGGACAGAGGGGAGAUCCUGACUGAAGGAUUCAGCCAGUAAGCCUGUUGGAACUUAUGCUACAGAUGCUGCAGUGUUUCUACUUCCACGGUUUAAGUGACAACGGGUCAAAACUGUUGAAAAUCCAGCAGCUAUCUGUCCACGAACACAUAAGUGCAUCACUAGGCCCAAACCAUAUAGAAAGAGCAGACAUUUGACAAGAGAUGCAUAGGAAAAGUGCUGAAAAUGGACAGGAUGAAUAGGUCAAACUUGGAAAACACAGAGGUGCUGUGGAACACAAGACAGUUCAAGAGCCCUGCUGUGGACACCCACACACUGCAAAAUGGACCACACGGAUGGUGAAAAUCAGGCCAUUUAUUCAGGUGCUUAACUGUGCAUUUUUGGCCUAUGAAAAUAUUUUCAAUCCCAGGCUAGCACAGUCAAUUUACAAUCCUCAGUACUUAGCCUUUGCUAUUGCUUAGUAGCACAAGUUCAUUUUGGAGACAAAUUUCUUGUCAAAUUUUCGUUUUCUAGAGCUGUGCAAAUAAUUCAGAAAACAAAUUUUAUAACAUCAGUGGGAAGAGAAACCAAUUUAAA